rnacentral:rRNA from 1 species
AGAGCCCGGAGAUGGAUUCUGAGACACGAAUCCAGGCCCUACGGGGUGCAGCAGGCGCGAAAACUUUACAAUGCCGGCAACGGCGAUAAGGGAACCUCGAGUGCCAGGUUACAAAUCUGGCUGUCGAGAUGCCUAAAAAGCAUUUCAUAGCAAGGGCCGGGCAAGACCGGUGCCAGCCGCCGCGGUAACACCGGCGGCUCGAGUGGUAACCGUUAUUAUUGGGUCUAAAGGGUCUGUAGCCGGCCGGAUAAGUCUCUUGAGAAAUCUGGCAGCUUAACUGUCAGGCUUUCAGGAGAUACUGUCUGGCUCGAGGCCGGGAGAGGUGAGAGGUACUUCAGGGGUAGGGGUGAAAUCUUGUAAUCCUUGAAGGACCACCAGUGGCGAAGGCGUCUCACCAGAACGGACCUGACGGCAAGGGACGAAAGCUAGGGGCACGAACCGGAUUAGAUACCCGGGUAGUCCUAGCCGUAAACGAUACUCGCUAGGUGUCGGCCACGGUGCGACCGUUGUCGGUGCCGUAGGGAAGCCGUGAAGCGAG